rnacentral:rRNA from 1 species
GCCUACGACCAUCUCACCCUGAAUGCGCCCGAUCUCGUCUGAUCUCGGAAGCUAAGCAGAGUCGAGCCUGGUUAGUACUUGGAUGGGAGACUGCCUGAGAAUACCAGGUGUUGUAGGCU